UCUUGGAUGAGUUGCGAACGGGUAAGUAACCGCGUAGGUAACCUCCCUGGUAGCGGGGGAUAACUAUUGGAAACGAUAGUUAAUACCGCAUGAUAUUAAUUGUCGCAUGAUAAUUAAUUGAAAGAUGCAAUUGCAUCAUUACCAGAUGGACCUGCGUUGUAUUAGCUAGUUGGUGAGGUAACGGCUCACCAAGGCGACGAUACAUAGCCGACCUGAGAGGGUGAUCGGCCACACUGGGACUGAGACACGGCCCAGACUCCUACGGGAGGCAGCAGUAGGGAAUCUUCGGCAAUGGGGGGAACCCUGACCGAGCAACGCCGCGUGAGUGAAGAAGGUUUUCGGAUCGUAAAGCUCUGUUGUAAGAUGAAGAACGGGUGUGAGACGUGGAA
rnacentral:rRNA from 1 species